GGGUAUCUUCUCCCCUUCUCCAUCGCCCCGGGAUCCUACCCAGCUGCCUCAGGUUUGCGGUCUCUGCAUUUGGCUCCAUCGUGAAAGGAGAAGGGAGAGAUUAGACCUGGGAAUAUCUGCGGAACAAGAAAUGUCUUGCGCAUGUGAGCACUCGGUCGGUGCUGGAGCCCGUCACAGUUUGCAAUUUCUGUUGGUUUACGUGUACACAGUUCUUCUCCCCAACUAGAAGCUUGCCCAAAUGCUGGCCUCUGCCUCGGGCCGCUGAGCUUCUUGUUACAAGGACAAUAUUCACCAAAUUCAAAUGUGAAGACGCAGAAAUCCUGGAGCUGUUCCAGCCUGCCUGCGAGCGGAAAGGGGGCUCCUUCUCACCCUGUAUAACAGGAUUUCUUUCUCCACCAGAACGGGCUUUCGCUGCGUGCUGUGGAAUCAGUGUUUUAUAAACCAACUCCGCUUUGGCUCCAUAAAAAGCCUCUCAACAGUGGCAGUCUCUACUGGCGUGAGAGAGGAUGCCGUUUUUUGAAACUUCCUUUCUAUGUUGUUAUGUUUUAAAAGCCAGCACAUAAUAACCUCUUAAAGAGUUUUAAUCGUGGUGAAAUACACUUAACAUGAAAUUUACCACUUAACCAAUUUUUAAGGAUACAUACGGUUCGGCAGUGUUAAGUACAUUCACACUGUGCAACCAAUCUCUGAGCUGUUUGCAUUUGCAAAACUAGAACUCUGUAGCCAUUAAACGGCUCCCCAUUCCCUACCCCCCCCCCCCCCCCCCGUGAACCUGCAGCAACCACCAUUGUACUUUCUGUCUCUGUGAAUUUGACUACUCUAGGAACCUCACGUUGAGUGGAAUCUGUGAUAUUCAGUAUUUGUCUUAGCGCCCGGCGUAUUCACUUAGCAAAAUGUCUCCAAGAGGCAACCAUGUUGUCACGUGGGUCAGAAUUUCCUUCCUUAUUAAGGCUGAAUAAUAAUUCCAGCGUAUGUGUGUGACACAUUUCAUUUAUGCUUUCAUCUCUUGAUGGAGACUUGGGUUGCUUCUGCCUUUGGCUAUUGUGAAUAAUCCUGCUGUAAAUAAAGCAGAGCAUCUCUUCGAGGCCCUGCCUUCAGUUGUUGGGGGCAUUUAUCCACAAAUGGAAUUGCCGGGUCAUAUGGGUAGUUCUGCUUUUAAUUUUUUGAGGCACUGCUGUGCUCUUUUCCGGAGCAUGGCAUCAUUUCGUAUUCCCACCAGCAGUGGAUAAGUAUUCUGAUUUCUCCACAUCCUCGCCGACCCUUGAUAUUUUCUGGUUUCUGGAGAGUGGCCAUCAUAAUCGGGGGGAGGUGAUAGCUCAUGGUGGUUUUGAUUUGAAUUUCCCUGAUAGGCUGUGAUGUUGAGAGCAUCUUUUCAAGUGCUUGUUGGCCAUUUGUACAUCUUCUUUGGCAAAAUGUCUGUUCAAGUCCUGUGCCCAUUUUUUAAUCAGUUUGGUUUUGUUGGUGGUGGUGGUGUUGGUUUCUGAGCACAUAAUAUUUUUAAACUCAGAAAGGAAUGUUAUAAAGAAAGGGGGAGAGAGCAUCCAGAAGGCCAGUCAAGAGAGUGUAGCGGUUAAAAGCUUGGGCUCUGAAAUUAGAACGUUCAGUCACCAUAAUUAUUGAGUGCCUUCUAUAUAAGUCAGGAUCGGCUAACUAACACACGACCCUAAAAGCUCAGUGAACUAAUGCAAUAAAAGUCUUGCUCGCUUACCUCAAGCUCAAUGGGAUCUGAGAUGGAAAAAGGAUGGAAGCUAGGGAGGGUCAGUAGGUCAUCCAGGGACUCUGUGUCAUGUAGUCAUUUAGGGACCUGGGCUGCAUCCAUCCUGUGACACUGACGUCCACAACAUAUGGCUCCAAGGUCACCUUGGGAGGGGAUAAAAGGGAAAAUUACAUAAGGGUAACUUUUUAUGGACCAGUCUUUGCCUGUCUUACAUCAGUCUAAUCUUGUAACGCCGCCCCACCCACUACAAAGGAGACUGGGAAACAUCCUUUUCCUGUGUGCCCAAGAGGAAGGGAAAUUGCACUGUCUCUGCAACAGUACGUCGCUUUGGUCACCAGACCAUCUCAUUCUUCUUCCCACACACAGAAAUACUCAUCCCCUUCUCUAGGGAGACAACCCAAAGUUGCAUCCAGGAUCUCCAGGUCACGUACGUUCUUUUCCCUUGAGACCACAUGAUCCGGUGACCAGUGCACUAAGGGGGAUAAGUUGUCUGCCCCACACCCCACAGCCGACACACAGUCAUGAAGUAGAAAUAACGAAACUCCCAUUGAGAAAAGGAAGAGUUCUGUAGCCCCUGGUCCAGGGAAGUGAUAGACUCCUUCCUGUGAGACAGGCUUUGUGAGGGUUCCCUGCUCUGGGAAGGGCGAAGUUCCCGGAUUAGGUUCUGGUCUGACCUCUGAAGGGCAGGCCCUGCCCAUUUUCCUCCAUGAUCUCGUCCUCACCUCACAGGAGUCUUUCCUUUCUCCUGAUCUCCCCGGACUCUACCUGAAGCCUUCUUUGGGGAGGAAUUCCUUCUUCUUGACAACAUCCAGCUCUUGGAGUUGUUCUUCUUGCUUACGUGUCUGCCAGAGUCAAGGACGUUUUUAAGGGUGACUUCAUGACGUCUCAGGCACUAAUCCUCUCAGAAGGUCAUGGGCUUGGUGAGGUGGGGAGACCUCUGCAAAGGGCAAGGCCUACUGGAAACCCACACAGAGAUAUGCACUGGCUGGUUGGACACAGGAGUCUGGCCCGUGGGGAGCGGUCCGGGCUGGAGAGGGACACUGGGGAGCCAUCACCAUAUUGCUGGCAUUUAUCAACAGGCUGGUGCGCGUAGACAGGCCAGAGAGGAGGUCCAAAGACCGAGCCCUGGCUCACUCCAGUGGCCAGAGAGGUGAGGAGGCGCCCACCAACAGAGGAAGGGAAGGACCUGGGAGUAGGUGAAAAUCCAGAAGAGUGUGGUGUCUGGGAAGACAAGUGACGCACGUGUCUCAAGGCAGGGGUGCUGACAGGUCGCUAAGGUGAGGGCUAAGGCUUGACAACAGAGGAGGCCACCGGUGACUCUGGCAAGGGCGGUUUCCACGGAGCAGCGGAGUAAGAGGCUGAGUGGCGUGGCUCCAGCCAACAAGGGGAGGGGAAAAGCGAGUGACCGUGACUGUGAACAGAAGAGUCUUGCUGCAAAGGUGAGCAGGGACAGUUGGCCCCCGCACCCCGAGAGAGGGAGGGCACAGGGUGUGACGCAGAUGCUGGGGGGGGUGGGGGCGGGGCGGUGGGAAAUGAAGUCUGAGGAAAUGACACUCGUAGUGUGAAGUUAGGACCCGGUGAGCAGCUUGGGGGGGGGGGGUGGACGAAGAGGCGUUUGAGGGGGUCUGAGGAGCGGAAAGCAGGCAGGAGUGGACCGGGGAGAUGGGCGAGUGUGGGGCAGCAGGAAGGGCCCUGGGUGGUCGGUCGUGUGCGUGUGUGCGUAAGGAGAGGCGGCCCCGUGGGCUGGUGACUCUCUUCAGCAGACACAGCCACGUGAGCACGGACAUGGAGCCGGCAGGGGUGUGAUUUAACUGAGGCGCCCAUGUUCUCAGGCGUUUAGACAAGACUAGGCCUCCAGCUGUCGUGGGCCCAGCUAUCCCGGGGCUCUGGUUGUCCUG